UACGUAGGGUGCGAGCGUUGUCCGGAUUUAUUGGGCGUAAAGGGCGCGUAGGCGGCUCGGCACGUCCGUUGUGAAAUCGCCCGGCUCAACUGGGCGGGGUCAGCGGAUACGGUCGAGCUUGAGCAAGCUAGGGGGCAAUGGAAUUCCCGGUGUAGUGGUGGAAUGCGCAGAUAUCAGGAGGAACACCAAUAGCGAAGGCAGCUCGCUGGGACGGUACUGACGCUGAGGCGCGAAAGCGUGGGGAGCGAACAGG
rnacentral:rRNA from 1 species